AUUGAACGCUGGCGGCAGGCCUAACACAUGCAAGUCGAGCGGAGCGGCGGACGGGUGAGUAAUGCCUAGGAAUCUGCCUGGUAGUGGGGGAUAACGUCCGGAAACGGGCGCUAAUACCGCAUACUAUCAGAUGAGCCUAGGUCGGAUUAGCUAGUUGGUGGGGUAAAGGCCUACCAAGGCGACGAUGCAUAGCCGACCUGAGAGGGUGAUCGGCCACAUUGGGACUGAGACACGGCCCAAACUCCUACGGGAGGCAGCAGUAGGGAAUCUUCGGCAAUGGACGAAAGUCUUACCGAGCAACGCCGCGUGAGUGAAGAAGGCCUUCGGGUUGUAAAGUACUUUCAGCGGGGAGGCGUUACCCGCAGAAGAAGCACCGGCUAACUCCGUGCCAGCAGCCGCGGUAAUAC
rnacentral:rRNA from 1 species